rnacentral:rRNA from 1 species
UACGUAGGAUGCAAGCGUUGUCCGGAGUACUGGGCGUAAAGCGUGUGCAGGCGGCUCUUUGCGUCGGUGGUGAAAUCUCCUGGCUUAACUGGGAGGGGGGCCAUCGAUACGGGGGAGCGUUGAGGGCUAGAGAGGGAAGUAGAACUCCCGGUGGACCAGUGAAAUGGGUAGAUAUCGGGAAGAAUACCUGAGGUGAAGACGGCUUCCUGGCUAGCACCUGACGCUCAUACACGAAAGCUUGGGGAGCAAACAGG